GUGCAAGCAUCACUUCUUCAUUUGGUGUGUGCCCAGGAGAAGGUGUCCCUCUGCUCCUUCCAAUAACAGCUACAGAACCUCCAGAACACCUUUGCUGGUCUGUGAAAGCAUUCAGCCGAGGUCUUGACCAUUCCCUGGGAAUUCAUUUCUCACUGGGCAGUUGCUAUGCCACACUCAAGACAGAGCGUCUGAGAAGAGGGAAAUGUCAACUUUUAAGAUGAUGUUCAGCUUUCUUGUAACAUGCAUUCUUUAUGUAAUGGGUUUGAAUUACAUAUUGUUCUCAGGCCUUCAGCUCUUCAUGGAAAGUCAGCUCGACUGAGCACAGUUGCUUGCUUUUUCUUAAUGAAGAGUUGUUAACAUAGGAAAGAGCACAACGAGGGGCCAAGUAAUGUCUACAUGAUUCAUUAAAAAUAUAUGCACAAUGAGCAGUGUUAGAUAGCACAUAGCUUAUUUUUAUUUAUACAGCACCAAGCAUUCCUGAGGAAGCAGGCCUUGCUCGCUGCAGGAGCUGAAUAUCACACUGCCAAGUCCCACAGCAAGAGAUGAUGGUUUCAGACUAAAAGAGGAGAGGUUUGGGUUAGAUGUUAGGAAGAAAUCCUUUACUUAGAGGGUAGUUACGCUCUGGCAUAGGCUGCCCCAAGAAGCUGUGAGUGCCCCAUCCCUGGAGGUGCUCAAGGCUGGAUUGGAUGGUCCCUUCCAACUCAACCCAACCCAAUGCAACCCAACCCAAUCAGCUCUGGGCAGCUAAACAGUGAUCUUCAGAUUAUAUUAAUUUCAAUGCAGUUAGUGUUGAUGUAUUGUGUUCUGCCUGAGAAGAGAAUCGUGGCCAUGACGGGAAAGAAAAGAACACAA